rnacentral:rRNA from 1 species
CGUGGGUAACCUGCCCAAGAGACUGGGAUAACACCUGGAAACAGAUGCUAAUACCGGAUAACAACACUAGACGCAUGUCUAGAGUUUAAAAGAUGGUUCUGCUAUCACUCUUGGAUGGACCUGCGGUGCAUUAGCUAGUUGGUAAGGUAACGGCUUACCAAGGCAAUGAUGCAUAGCCGAGUUUAGAGACUGAUCGGCCACAUUGGGACUGAGACACGGUCCAAACUCCUACGGGAGGCAGCAGAU